AACGAACGCUGGCGGCAGGCUUAACACAUGCAAGUCGAGCGCCCCGCAAGGGGAGCGGCAGACGGGUGAGUAACGCGUGGGAAUCUACCGUACCCUACGGAAUAGCUCCGGGAAACUGGAAUUAAUACCGUAUACGCCCUACGGGGGAAAGAUUUAUCGGGGUAUGAUGAGCCCGCGUUGGAUUAGCUAGUUGGUGGGGUAAAGGCCUACCAAGGCGACGAUCCAUAGCUGGUCUGAGAGGAUGAUCAGCCACAUUGGGACUGAGACACGGCCCAAACUCCUACGGGAGGCAGCAGUGGGGAAUAUUGGACAAUGGGCGCAAGUCUGAUCCAGCCAUGCCGCGUGAGUGAUGAAGGUCUUAGGAUUGUAAAGCUCUUUCACCGAUGAAGAUAAUGACGGUAGUCGGAGAAGAAGCCCCGGCUAACUUCGUGCCAGCCGCCGCAGUAA
rnacentral:rRNA from 1 species